rnacentral:rRNA from 1 species
GAUGAACGCUAGCUACAGGCUUAACACAUGCAAGUCGAGGGGAAACGGGAGGAUAGCUUGCUAUCUUCGCCGUCGACCGGCGCACGGGUGAGUAACGCGUAUCCAACCUGCCAUCCAGCGGCGGAUAGCCUUUCGAAAGAAAGGAUAAUACUCCAUGACCUCCUCAGAGGACAUCUGACGAGGAGCAAAGAUUUAACGAUGGGUGUUGGGGAUGCGGCUGAUUAGGCAGUUGGCGGGGUAACGGCUCACCACACAGACGAGCAGUAGGGGUUCUGAGAGGAAGGUCCCCCACAUUGGAACUGAGACACGGUCCAAACUCCUACGGGAGGCAGCAGUGAGGAAGAUUGGUCAAUGGACGUAAGUCUGAAACAGCCAAGUAGCGUGCAGGAUGACGGCCCUAUGGGUUGUAAACUGCUUUUAUGCGGGGGUAAAGUGAGUGACGUGUCAUUCAUUGCAAGUACCGCAAGAAUAAGGACCGGCUAAUUCCGUGCCAGCCGCCGCAGUAA